GACGAACGCUGGCGGCGUGCUUAACACAUGCAAGUCGAACGGAAAGGCCCUGCUUUUGUGGGGUGCUCGAGUGGCGAACGGGUGAGUAACACGUGAGUAACCUGCCCUUGACUUUGGGAUAACUUCAGGAAACUGGGGCUAAUACCGGAUAGGAGCUCCUGCUGCAUGGUGGGGGUUGGAAAGUUUCGGCGGUUGGGGAUGGACUCGCGGCUUAUCAGCUUGUUGGUGGGGUAGUGGCUUACCAAGGCUUUGACGGGUAGCCGGCCUGAGAGGGUGACCGGCCACAUUGGGACUGUGAUGCGGCCGAGACUCCUACGGGAGGCAGCAGUGGGGAAUAUUGCACAAUGGGCGGAAGCCUGAUGCAGCAACGCCGCGUGCGGGAUGACGGCCUUCGGGUUGUAAACCGCUUUCGCCUGUGACGAAGCGUGAGUGACGGUAAUGGGUACAGAAGCACCGGCUAACUACGUG
rnacentral:rRNA from 1 species